CACGCAGGGGCGAGCGUAACUAGCGCUGUGGCGGGUGCGGGCCACACAUGGGUUGGGAACGGUGCAGAUAGUGCCUGUUUGUAGUUACUGCCCAAAUGUUUGGUUUGUCCAAGGACUUUCUAAGCCUCAUGCUCUGCCAGAGGGAAGGGGAGGCCAUGAGGAAGCAGACACAGGACACCUGACCCAAACUAGCCAAAGGGGUAUUCCAUACCAUAGCACGUCAUGCCCAGGAUGUAACGGAGAAUUACCUGGAAGGGAGCCACUCCAUACUCCGGAUUUUCUUUCAAGAACCUGGACAAAUCCUUCAGAGGGGGAGCAAAGGCACCCCCAACCUGAGAAGCAGAAGACAGAAGUCAGGAAAUAUUCAUAAGAAGAAAAGGCAACAGUCACACCUGACACUGUUUCAUUUUUUGCCUUUUGUACAGAACAAUACAAAUAAAGUCUAACUUGAAAUUAUUGAUGAGUACAAGACAGCUUUUCAGUGAUUCCUUGUGUUAUAUGUGAC